CUGAUGUCAUCUUGUACACGUUCUGUAUAAAAGAAGUACUGACCUCAGAGAACAUCAGAACUUCACUCUGCAGUGGAAAACAUUCAAGCUGAGAACAGAAACCUAGAGCAGAGAAAAGAAACUACAGCUGCAUCACCAUGAUUGCUCAGAUUUGUGUCGUACUCCUUCUUUUUGUUGCCGCUGGCAACGCACAGACCACUGUGGCAGCAACCACGGCCGCAGACACCACAGCUGCAGCAACAACCGCAGCUGCAGCAACCACGGCCGAAGCAACAACCGCGGCUGCAGCAACCACGGCCGAAGCAACAACCGCGGCUGCAGCAACCACGGCCGAAGCAACAACUGCAGGCGCCACAGCAACCGUGGCUGCAACCACCGCCUCUUCCUCCAUUAUCAACAAAAUCAGUCUCAUGUCGGUCACUGUGGCUGUAAUGACUCACGCACUUCGCUCAUAUUGUUGAAGAUGUUAGGAUCAGUUCUUAUCCUGUGAAAGAAGUGAUGCAAAAUGAAGAAUAUGACGAUUUGCUGUAAAUAAGCUGGUAUUUAUUGUACUGUGUGAUGUGUAUAUUUGUGCUGUUGGUCACAAUCACACUGGAUCCUCCUGGAGGUGGCUGUAAUUUGUCCGACCACCUGUGAAGGGAGGAGACUGUAAUGAUUUGAUUCAGAGGCCUGAAUCUUACUGAUAUUAACUGAAACUAAAAUAAAUGUAAGAUCAACA